CUAUUAAUGAAAACAAUUAUAAAACUUUGUCCUCAGUGGAGAAGAAGUUGAGCAAGGAAUUAACUCGAAUCGAAAUAUGGGGCAAGAGAGGGAGAAAGGUACCUAUUUUUCUGACAGAAAAGAUGAAGAACUCAAUUGCAUUGUUGUUGAAAAGAAGAGAAGAUGCAGGUGUACUGCCUGAAAAUCCUUAUCUCUUCGCAAGAACCUCUGGAACAACAAACAUAAGAGGAUGUGACUGUCUUCGAAAAUACGCAGAGGAAGGUAAUGCAGACAACCCAGAGCUCUUCCAGUCAACUAAGUUGAGGAAACAAGUUGCUACACAAAAUUCAAACGGUACAAGAAAGACGGAGUGGACAAACAAAAGUUGACAGUAAAAACUUGUACAAGAAAGGAUGACCGUAAAAGGAAAUGGGACAAGAAGCAUUACUGCUUCUACUGUGGGAAUUCCCAAUCAAACAUAUCAAGACAUUUGGAAAGAAAACAUAGUGAUAUUAAAGAUGUGGCUUAUGCGUUCAGCUUCCCAUUAGGCUCUAAAGAAAGAAAGGUUCUUUUAGAACAGCUGCGCAACAAAGGAGACUUCAAACACAAUGUCAAAGUUAUUCAAGAAGGAAGAGGACAAAUAGUGACAUGGAAGCAUCCAUCUGAGAAAGCAUCUGUUCAGGACUUUUUGCCCAGCUCAUAUUGUCUUGGGAUGUUCAGAAAAAAAUUGUUGUGGAGACAUCAUUCCUCAGGCAAAGUUAAAGAAUUAUGUGAGACAGAUGACAGUAAUGUUAAGAGACGAGUGCAGAAUUGUGCUGCACGGCAUCUUCCAAUCUCAGCAGCAGCAUCUGUUGGAUGUCAGGCUAUCAUCAACAACAUGAGACAAGAUAACGUCUCUUUUCACAUUAGAAGUGAUCCUUUAAUUUGCAGAUAUGGCGAAUCCUUGUAUGCAAAACAUGGGCAUGUGCAAUCCCACCACCAGUACAUCGCCCAAAGAAUGAGAGAGCUAGGACGAUUUAUGCUAGUUGCAACCAAUUCAUGCAACAAUUCAGGAAAAACGAUGGAAUAAAGAUGAUGACAUCCCUCUCACCAAAAAUGUGAUAGCUCUGCGAGACUAUCUCAGACAAGUGGAUGAUGAAGCCAAGGGGGUACUGAUGGACCACAUGGACUUGGCAUCAUAUAAGACAUUAAAUGAGUCUGUUCUUGCAAAGCUCAUUAUUUUCAAUAAGUGACGUGAGGGAGAGGCAUCACGCUUGACAUUGGACACAUACAGAAGAGCAAGUAACAGUCCUAUUAAUGAAAACAAUUAUAAAACUUUGUCCUCAGUGGAGAAGAAGUUGAGCAAGGAAUUAACUUGCAUCGAAAUAUGGGGCAAGAGAGGGAGAAAGGUACCUAUUUUUCUGACAGAAAAGAUGAAGAACUCAAUUGCAUUGUUGUUGAAAAGAAGAGAAGAUGCAGGUGUACUGCCUGAAAAUCCUUAUCUCUUCGCAAGAACCUCUGGAACAACAAACAUAAGAGGAUGUGACUGUCUUCGAAAAUACGCAGAGGAAAGUAAUGCAGACAACCCAGAGCUCUUCCAGUCAACUAAGUUGAGGAAACAAGUUGCUACACUCUGCCAACUACUGGACCUUGACGAACAAGAACUUGAACAGGUUGCCAGAUUCAUGGGUCAUGAUAUCAGAGUACAUUGUGACUUCUACAGACAAACUGAUAAAACAUUUCAAGUAACCAAAAUAAACAAACUCCUCUUUGCAAUGGAGCAAGGGACUCUGAGCUGGAGAGGGAAGAACCUCAACUCGCUUAAUAUUUCUGGCUGUGGGGAAAUUUAAACAACAUCCCAGAGUUCCCCAAAAAAGAAGAAACGGAGAAUAGAGUCAGUGGAAGAUUCAGCAUGCCAGAGCAGCCAACAAGAUAACUGGAAAAAGAAAAGAGAGGCAGCUGAAAAGGAUGACAUUUCACUCAACUACAGCCAUGAUGAAAUUGUGGACAUAUAUGGGGGGCGAUGUGCAACUGAUAGAGAGUAGAGCUGCACACUGGCCGAGGAAGAAUAAAUCCUCUCACUGAAAAGUUAUCAUCAGCUCAACCCGUGUGCUGUCUUUAUUCUUUAUCACAGGACAGCAAGAGUGACGUCAGUAACUGUUUUCAAAAUCUGACAGCUAUGAGAUUGUCCCAGGAUGCAAGAGUACAGCGAAAGCUUGUCCACUGCUUAUGGGACUGAUUUAUGCCCUGAACUGUGCAUACCCUCCUAUUUUGUACUACACUUUUAAAGUCCUCUAAGAACUCUUGCUGGAGAUGGAUCAAUUUAAACUCUACACAAAAGAAAACACCCUGAAGUGAAAGUUACUGUCAUUAUUCUGUCUUCCUAGAGGAGGAAAAUAUUUCUGUAAUGAAUGUUUUAACUCUGACAGUGUUGUAAACUUUUCACUACAUAUUUAAAAAACACUGUUCCACUUUGAAUGUAAAAUUUAUCACUGCCCCAUAAAGAAAUUUAGAAAUUGAAUUCACACUAAUAGUGGAGUUACGUAUUUGUGAAGCCGUUUCUUUAAUGCAUAGAUUUUUGCUUAAUUUUAUUUGUAAACGUUUAUCCAGAGACAACUUGCAUCAAAUAUAUUG